GGGCAGGCCAGCAGGUGCUACNCGGGAGCGCUUCGGGUUUGAUAAACUGCUUUUGUACGGGAAUAAACCUAUUUACGAGUAGGUAGCUGAAGGUACUGUACGAAUAAGCACCGGCUAACUCCGUGCCAGCAGCCGCGGUAAUA
rnacentral:rRNA from 1 species